GCUUAGCUAGUUAGAACUUAGGACUUAGAAUCCUUGCUUCAUUGGUUAGAAUCCACUUCUAAGCG
rnacentral:tRNA from 1 species